rnacentral:tRNA from 1 species
GGGGCAUUAGCGCAGCUGGGAGCGCAUCACACUGGCAGUGUGGGGGUCACGAGUUCGAGUCUCGUAUGCUCCACCA